ensembl:lincRNA Meg3 maternally expressed 3
GACUUUUGGUAAAUCACCUUUUGCCGUUUCCUUUGUCCCCGUGAAGCCCCCCCUGGCCGCCCCCUCCUCAUUCUGGGCUGGCUGGCUGAGGGGGGGCAGCCUGAGGGCUGCGACGUGGCAGGUUUCUAGAAUGUUCUAUUGAUGGCCGCAAGAGGGCGCUGGUGGCACUGCGGAAUUUUGGGGGGCGGGGUGGGGAGGGAAGAGGAGGUGGCCUUUGUUCUCCUGCAGGAGGGGGUCGGGAGCGAGAUGGGUUGCGGGACCAUGGGUUCAUUUACCUAUGGGGAAAUGUUAGUAGAUACCUGGAUUCACUAAGGUGCGCUUGCAGGACUUACAAUAGGUCAGAGAUGGCGUCAUCUGCAGUGGCUGUGUGAUUUAGGGUGUCAUGGACGCAGAUUAAUUUAUUUUCAGUGAUUUGUGUUUUCUGGGGUCUUAGAAAGGUGUGGCUUUUUGAGGAAGAAUUGCAAAAAAUAUUAAUUAAUUAGGCGUCAUCCAUAAGGGUCUUGAGAGUUGACGUGGCAAAGGGGGGGCAAGGUUUUGAGGAGAAGGGUGUUAAUUGGGUGGGGGGAGGCAGGGUGGUCUGCCUUUAUUUUGUCAUAUAGCUGAAGACCUCAAAAAUGAGUGUUCUGUAUUAAGAAUUGAGUCUUUAAAUUUUAAUUAUGCUUAAUUGGAUUUACUAAUGGUGGGUGGGGGCAGCGUCCUGCUUUUACUUAUCAGGAGUAGAAUUGUGGUCUGGGGGCAGCCCCUUACUGCAGGGUCUCUUUGGUGCAAGGCGGCUCCUGGAUGCCUGUGUGUGUGCUGCGUCAUGUCUGGAAAAUGGCUCAGGCAGAGGCGAUGGGGGUGCAUAGCGACCCUUAAAGAUGGCUGAUGUGGGCUCUGCCCCCCCCAAGCCUGAAACCUGUUGGGCGCCCUCCCCCCUCCUACGUCAGUCUAGCUCUAGCAGCUGCGUCCUGGCGCCUGUGGGGGCGCCUCAGGUGGUUGGGCUAUUGGAGUCUUAGUGAGUGCGGGCCGCGCGCCCCCUAGCGGUCUCUAUGUGCAAAUGGUUCUUGGCCUGCCAGACUAGCGCUAGAGUUGCGCAUGCGCACACAGCUAACACUUGUGACCUGUCAAUCAAUUCAUCUGUACCCCUCCCAUUGCUGUCCUCCCCUCCCAUUUCUCCUCCUACUUCUCCUCCCAUUUCUGUUUUCCCUCCUCCCCCUCCCAUUUCUGUUUUCCCUCCUCCCCCUCCCAUUUCUUCUCCCUCCUCCCCCUCCCAUUUCUUCUCCCUCCUCCCCCUCCCAUUUCUCCNNNNNNNNNNNNNNNNNNNNNNNNNNNNNNNNNNNNNNNNNNNNNNNNNNNNNNNNNNNNNNNNNNNNNNNNNNNNNNNNNNNNNNNNNNNNNNNNNNNNCCCCCAAGCCUUCCCCUCCCUUCUCUCCUCUUUCACUUGCCCCCUCCCUCUCUAUGCUGUUCCUGGGCUGGCCGUUAGAGGUCAUCAAGGUGGUUUCUAACAACCCCCUCCCAUAUCCUAGGCUCUCUCUUCAGGGAUGACAUCAUCGGCUCACACCAGUCUUCCAGGACCACCUUCUGGAUGCCAAGGCUGCUGCUCGAGUACCUGCUGUGCACCUCUACCUCCUGAGCCAAGGAGCACGGAUUCCAGGAACCCACUACCAUACAGAGCAACUCCUUGUGGACCCCCCUGGGAUCAGGACAGCGAGGGACAAGCGACAAAGAGGAUCAUCAGUGGCCAGCUAGUCUCUCUGGGGUUCAAACCUUGAACCAGUGCCCUAGUGAGGGGGCACUGGCCAUGGCCCUUGACCUUUGCUCUGCUUGUGUCUUGAGUCUGAGCCCUUUCCUGUACAUCUGUGCUCGUGUUCAUCUGCUAGUGAACUGGAGUGCUGCCCUCCCCGAGGAGGGUCGUCCCUUGUGACUGAUCAUGCUGUCCUAACAAUGUCCUGAGCAAAAGGGUCCCUUUGGGAACCUCUCAGGAGGGGGACCCGGGUCAGGGGCGACCAGCAUCUUGCUGGCAACUCCGUGGGUGGGGUGGGGUGGGGUGCUUCCUUCUGGAAUGAGCACGUGGCUGACCCCCCCAAGGCAUGUCCCCUCCCCCUCCUCCACCCACCUUCUCGGAGAUGUCCCUUUUGGGGUAGUGGGGACAUUAGGAGCAACCUCCUAGGGUUGUUGUGAGAAUUAAAUGAACUGCAGCAGCCUGAGGCAGGGCUGGGCAGAGACCUCAGCACAUGUUUGUUGAAAGGUUUGCAGGUGGAUCUAGUCCUCCCGUUCAUGGCUCAUGUGUCUCAACCAUUCUCUCGCAGACUCCUGCAGCCCCUAUGCCCAGGGCUCUCCUUGCGCCAGCCCCGGCUUCUCGAGGCCUGUCUACACUCGCUGCUUUCCUUCCUCACCUCCAAUUUCCCCUCCAACCCACUGCUUCCUGACUCGCUCUUCUCCAUCGAACGGCUCUCGCUCAGGCCUGUCGCGUCUUCCUGUGCCAUUUGCUGUUGUGCUCAGGUUCCACGAGCUGCCCAUCUCCACAGAAGAGCAGCUGGCAUUGCCCACCGGCCAUGCCGGCUGAAGAAAAGAAGACUGAGGACCCCAGGAUGCCCAGCGCGAGGACCCCAGGAAGCCCAGAGCGAGGACUCCACCCACGACGCCCAGCGCGAGGACUUCACGCACAACACGUUGCAACCCUCCUGGAUUAGGCCAAAGCCAUCAUCUGGAAUCCUGCGUGGGACCCUGGACACACGGACACAGACACCUGCCCCCAGGACCCUCCAACUGUAAAUCGAUUGGAAGCGCCCUUGUGAGCUGGGGCCUUCAAAGGGCUGAGGAGAAAAUGCAGGCCGAGAGACCAGCUUCUCAAAUAGGCUUCAAGCCUCCAUGACCUGAGCUCACCCCCUGGAAAUGUCUGGAAAACAUAAUGGGCAGGUUUUCUGUCUUCAAAGUUUCCAUCAAAACCUCUUCAAGUUCUUUAUUGUUUAGGACUGAGACACUUGGGGACAGUAAUGGGGACUUUCUUUUGUAUCUGUCUUGAAAGGCCAAAAUAUUUUUAUAUUGCUGUAGACAAAGCCACCUAUUUACAAAUGGACUCUGUUCGGUCGUUUCCCACCAGGAAGACCGUACUAUGUUUGUGUCUCUAUGUAUUCUGGGGUCUUGAAACAGGUUUCUCAUGGGGAUGGCCAUUCACUAGAGCCCAGAGGGGCAGAAGGGGAAGUGUCUACCCUGCCAAGGGGGUCUGGGGAAGGAGGGGGGCUAGUCUCAGAUUUGCUCCUUGUAUGUCUAGGGUAAACCCUGGGAGAAUCUGGUGGUAAAAGAACAUAUGCUGUGUUUGCCCCACAUCUGCCAUUUGUGUGUGUUUCUGGGCUACGGGUUUGCACACUUUGGGGGUUAACAUGGUGGGAGGAAGUAAGAAGGGCCAAGAGGGCACGGGUGCUCUGGUUUUCCUGCUGGGAGGCUGUUUCACUGGUGUGUGUUACAUCACAUAAUGCAUGUUUAGCUGGGUGAGUGACAACAGUAUGAAGGGACAGAGAAACAAAUAGGUGUAGAAAGAGAGUCACAGAGCACACAGUCACCAUUCUGUGCCCAGGCGUUCAUUAAAUGUUCAAUAGAAUGCUGAGCUCUGAUAGACAGAGCGGGCCACGGACACACUGGUAUUGGGUCAUCAUGGACCUAAGGAGUUUUUUUAAUUGAAGAAGGAAUCUUACAUAACAGAAGAAAGAAUAAGAAGAGCUGUCAAAAUGAGCUCUGAGGUUUUUGAAGCCCCUUAAUAUAAACAGACAGACAAUGGCGUGAUCAGGAAAGGGAGAAAACAAACAAACAAACAAACAAGAUGCUUACAGAAAUACGAGAGGACGUGUGAGCAUGCAAAGAGAACCCAGCUAGGUUAGUAUCGGGGUGCUGGUGGAUCGUUAAUCCUGUCUGGGUACCCCAGCUCCAAGGGGAUGAGAGGCAGCAAGUGAGAGGACACAUAGGAAACUGUAACAAGACAGAGGCGAGCAGAUGGGGAGCUUCAGCGGAGUGUUAAGCUAGGCUUCGCAAUCUGACCACUUAACUCUCCCAGCAAAGAAAAGAAAGGCUUAAAUACUAAAAAGAAGGAAAGCUGGAAGAAAGGAUGGUAGAUGUGAAAGGCAUAGAGGAUAGAAAGCAAUAGGGAGUGGAGUGCAGGUGCUGUGGAGAGACGCUUGCAGGUGACUCAAUUCACCAGCCUGUGCAGCUGAGAAAGACAGCCAGUGACAAAGGAGAAGAAGAAAGGUAACAAUACACUCACAAAUAGGUAGAUGAAUGUAGCUGGAAGACGGGGCCUGGCUAGGGACGGGAUGAGAGGCUGUGUCAGCAGACUGGUUAAUUCCCAUCUGUGCUUCUGAGAUGGACAAUGACCCACCCGACCAAGAGACCUUUCAGGCAUCAAUAUGUCAGGGAGGGCUUCAAUGGGGCAAUGGAGGCGAGGCCCAUUAAUAGCAGAUUAUGAUGUAUCCAAUUAGGUGCACCUGCCCUCUGGAAGUGCAGAAACCAGUAUUGAAAUGGAAAGAAAGACUGAAUGGAAGUCCGAGAGUACAAAUGAAUGGAUGGGAAAAAAGAUUUGCAUUCGCUCUUAGGGGGAGGGUGCUGCUGAGCCCCAGGGUCAUCUGAUCUCCCGGAGAAUAAAAGGGCGAGGGAGUGAUAGAGAGUAACAAUAAGAUGGAGAAGAAAUGAAAAGGAGUACAGAGAGAAUAAGUGGGGACAAUGAAGUCUAGGAGCGCGGCUUGUUUAACACAAGUCAUCCAUAUUAAUUCAAAAUUGAGGCCCUGGGAUGGGAUGGGCUGUGUCCAAGGGAUGAAGCUGUUGCCUAGCAUGUGCCAAGUUCUGGGUUCCAUCUCCGCCUGGCAAGACAAACACAGGAAACAAAAUUAUAGCCCAGAGGUUGUAAAUGUUGUUUUUGAUGGUUUUGGGACAAAGAGCUAGAUCGGUUGGAAGAUAGAGAAAUAGGAAGAGGUGGGAAAGAGUUAGAUGAGCACAAGAGGAAGCAGCAGUUCUUAAGAUAAGUGUUUAAAUAUGGUGAAUGCGUAGCUCUUGGGUGUGUCAAGAUGAAAAUAACGAAAAGAAACAAGUUUAGGGAUGACGGCACAGGGAUGAGCGGAAGCGGUGACUUUAGUUAAUCACCGUGGCCAACUCAAGCCCUGUCGGGGAUUUAAAAAAAGGUACAAAGGCGAUAAAGGAAGACACAUGCAAUACGGAAGAGAGAGACAGGACAGACAGACACAGCGAAAAGGCUGAGGACAUGCCUGAGAGGGUCGCGAAGGGAUGAGAGAGAGAACAGCGAGAAUUCUGCUUAAUUCAAAACCGGGCUCCUGAGAUAGCUAAAUAUCUCCUGAGCCCAAACACCAGCACAGGAGAUUAAAUAACAAAAGAGCUGCAGGCAGACCCAAGUGGAGAAGGCUUGGGACCCUCAGAUCAGGCUUCAACUAAAUCUGUGCAUCUGAGGUCCAUAAAUAAAAGAAUAAAUAUUGAAAUAAAGGAGUGACAGAAAGGAUGAAUGAGCACACAUGACUGAAUUAGAAAUGGAAAUGGCUAGAGCAGCCAGUAAGGAGUGGCCCAUGGGACUUCUGCUCAUCUUAUUCUGGGCACCUGAGGUCCCUUCGUGAGAAGAUGCAGGGAGAAGAGGGGAAGGGAAAGGCAUGAGAGCAAAUGAAAGAGAGGCGAGGAGAGGAAAUGAGAAAGUGGCAGAGAGGGGAAGCGAUCGGUGGGUGCCUCGGAAGAGGAAUGUCCACGAGGAUUAAUAACGAGGCUCUCAUUAAUCCUAAAGAUCGAUGAGGUAAUCCAGACCCAGGUUCUUAAGGGGAAGGAGAAUGG